UCCUCCCUGGCUCGCCGUAAGCAGCUUCUGAUUUGCUGCUUUACAGCGAGCCAGGGAGAGGCAGGUGGGAGCCACGGCUUCCCCUUCCUCCCUCCCUGGCUCACUGUAAGCGGCUCCCACUUUGCCACUUUACAGUGAGCCGGGGAGGGAGGGAGGAUGGACAGGAGCUGUGGCUCCCGAGAGGACGAGCUACGCAGCUUUGCCGGUGCCCUGGCAAAGUGGCAUAGCUCCCUCCCUU